GGGUUGUGAGGUUAAGCGAAUAAGCGUACACGGUGGAUGCCUAGGCAGUCAGAGGCGAUGAAGGACGUGCUAAUCUGCGAUAAGCGUCGGUAAGGUGAUAUGAACCGUUAUAGCCGACGAUUUCCGAAUGGGGAAACCCAGUGCAAUUCGUUGCACUAUCAUUAACUGAAUACAUAGGUUAAUGAAGCGAACCGGGAGAACUGAAACAUCUAAGUACCCCGAGGAAAAGAAAUCAAACGAGAUUCCCCCAGUAGCGGCGAGCGAACGGGGAACAGCCCAGAACCUGAAUCAGCACCAGUAUUAGGAGAACGGCCCUGGAAAGGCCGGCCACAGCAGGUGAUAGCCCUGUAUCCGAAAAUGCUGGUGUUGUGAGUUCGAUGAGUAAGGCGGGACACGUGUUAUCCUGUCUGAAUAUGGGGGGACCAUCCUCCAAGGCUAAAUACUCCUGACUGACCGAUAGUGAACCAGUACCGUGAGGGAAAGGCGAAAAGAACCCCGGCGAGGGGAGUGAAAAAGAACCUGAAACCGUGUACGUACAAGCAGUGGGAGCACCCUUGUGGUGUGACUGCGUACCUUUUGUAUAAUGGGUCAGCGACUUAUAUUCUGUAGCAAGGUUAACCGAAUAGGGGAGCCGCAGGGAAACCGAGUCUUAACUGGGCGAAUUAGUUGCAGGGUAUAGACCCGAAACCCGGUGAUCUAGCCAUGGGCAGGUUGAAGGUUGGGUAACACUAACUGGAGGACCGAACCGACUAAUGUUGAAAAAUUAGCGGAUGACUUGUGGCUGGGGGUGAAAGGCCAAUCAAACCGGGAGAUAGCUGGUUCUCCCCGAAAGCUAUUUAGGUAGCGCCUCGUGAAUUUAUCUCCGGGGGUAGAGCACUGUUUCGGCUAGGGGGUCAUCCCGACUUACCAACCCGAUGCAAACUACGAAUACCGGAGAAUAUUAUCACGGGAGACACACGGCGGGUGCUAACGUUCGUCGUGAAGAGGGAAACAACCCAGACCGCCGGCUAAGGUCCCAAAGUCAUAAUUAAGUGGGAAACGAAGUGGGAAGGCUCAGACAGCCAGGAUGUUGGCUUAGAAGCAGCCAUCAUUUAAAGAAAGCGUAAUAGCUCACUGGUCGAGUCGGCCUGCGCGGAAGAUGUAACGGGGCUAAAUUAUGCACCGAAGCCGCGGCAGCGAUAUGUAAAUAUUGUUGGGUAGGGGAGCGUUCUGUAAGCCUGCGAAGGUGACCUGUGAGGGUUGCUGGAGGUAUCAGAAGUGCGAAUGCUGACAUAAGUAACGAUAAUGCGGGUGAAAA
rnacentral:rRNA from 1 species